AUGGUCUCCGGCGCCCAUGUCCGGGAGCUUUUCUCGCUCUGGACACUUCUGCAUGGCUUUCACCUUGAUGACCAGGUUGAGGAUGGCAUUGUUUGGAAACAUGCUGUAGAUGGGAUAUACUCGGCGGCCACUGCUUAUAAGGCGCAAUUCCUUGGCCUAACACAUUCACACAUUCACUACAUGGUCUGGAAAGCUUGGGCUCCCCCUAAGGUCAAAUUCUUCGCCUGGCUGGCCUUGCAAGACCGGAUUUGGACUGCAGACCGGUUGGAGCAGCGUGGUUAG
rnacentral:rRNA from 1 species